CUAAUUAUAGUUCUAUUAGGGAACAUUUCAUUUACACUGAUAAAGUAUCUGUGCAAUUCAGUUUAAUUUGA
rnacentral:tRNA from 1 species